GGCGGUCGGUGACCGCGGCCGGGGCUGCAGGCGGCGGAGCGGCUGGGUCGCCCAUAUUUGAUUUUGAGCUCCAAAAUGGAAGAUUGGAAAAUAUGUUUUGAAGAGCUUGCCAACACUUGGUGUCACAUGUGAGCCUCCCACAUGUAUUCACUCUCCAUUCCAGCUCUGUGAUUGAACUCUGCUCUUAUUGACUAGGGGGCAGUUGGGCAGGCAUGCCUCAUUCCUGGAAUUGACAGUCAUUCCUAAUUUUUGAAUAUACUAACACUGAAUCAGCACUUCUAAAGCCCUUCCUUCUCCCACUGGCUUCACUUGGCUUUCAGACAUAAUGAGGAGACUGGCUUUUCGAGGCGCUGGUUGUGCUCUGAAGAAGUUGGAUUCCAUGGGUUCCAAGAGAAGAAGAGCUACCUCCCCUUCCAGCAGUGUCAGCGGGGACUUUGAUGAUGGGCACCAUUCUGUG
rnacentral:lncRNA from 1 species